rnacentral:rRNA from 1 species
CACGUAGGAGGCGAGCGUUGUCCGGAAUCAUUGGGCGUAAAGAGCGCGCAGGCGGCUUGGCAAGUCGGGUGUGAAAUCCCGGGGCUCAACCCCGGGACUGCAUUCGAUACUGUCAGGCUAGAGGUAGGUAGGGGAGAUCGGAAUUCCUGGUGUAGCGGUGAAAUGCGCAGAUAUCAGGAGGAACACCGGUGGCGAAGGCGGGUCUCUGGGCCGUAACUGACGCUGAGGAGCGAAAGCAUGGGGAGCGAACAGG